rnacentral:rRNA from 1 species
GAUGAACGCUGGCGGCGUGCUUACACAUGCAAGUCGAACGGGAAAUACUUUAUUGAAACUUCGGUCGAUUUAAUUUAUUUCUAGUGGCGGACGGGUGAGUAACGCGUGGGUAACCUGCCUUAUACUGGGGGAUAACAGCCAGAAAUGACUGCUAAUACCGCAUAAGCGCACAGGACCGCAUGGUUCCGUGUGAAAAACUCCGGUGGUAUAAGAUGGACCCGCGUUGGAUUAGUUAGUUGGCAGGGCAGCGGCCUACCAAGGCGACGAUCCAUAGCCGGCCUGAGAGGGUGAACGGCCACAUUGGGACUGAGACACGGCCCAGACUCCUACGGGAGGCAGCAGUGGGGAAUAUUGCACAAUGGGGGAAACCCUGAUGCAGCGACGCCGCGUGAAGGAAGAAGUAUCUCGGUAUGUAAACUUCUAUCAGCAGGGAAGAUAAUGACGGUACCUGACUAAGAAGCCCCGGCUAGCUACGUGCCAGCAGCCGCGGUAAUACGUAGGGGGCAAGCGUUAUCCGGAUUUACUGGGUGUAAAGGGAGCGUAGACGGCGCAGCAAGUCUGAUGUGAAAGGCAGGGGCUUAACCCCUGGACUGCAUUGGAAACUGCUGUGCUUGAGUGCCGGAGGGGUAAGCGGAAUUCCUAGUGUAGCGGUGAAAUGCGUAGAUAUUAGGAGGAACACCAGUGGCGAAGGCGGCUUACUGGACGGUAACUGACGUUGAGGCUCGAAAGCGUGGGGAGCAA